AGGACAAUAACAAAAUUGUCUUACUCUUUAUUGAAAACUAUUUUUUUUUAACAUGGGCACAUCCUUAAACUUGAUCUUCUGUGAGAACGUGUGUGUUCCAGCAAGAAAGAAGGAGGAAGUGGAAGUGAAGCUUUCUUUACGGUAGCGGUUGCCUCUGGAAAUGGAGGAAAGGAGAAGUGAUGGGGCUUUAGCUGUUCCUGUUCCUUAAAACCGACAAACAAGAUACUCACCAAGACUGAAACACGUAUAACGAAAUAUGAAGAGUUAUUUUAUCUCAGUGUCCAAAAAUGUAUCAAAGGAGGCUUCUGAAUUCAAUUCAGAAAAUAGACAGGGAUUCAGAUGUCAAGAACAGCGGCCCAGCAUACUCCAGCACUUUUGCUGCUCAAAUCCCUCUUCUUCAAAACUGUGUCCACCAUCAAUACUGGCAGUUGUAUAACCCACAAAUUUUCAAGGUAUUCAGAAGAGUUGCCUUUGGUUUAAAAAGUGUGUAGUGGUGAAGAAAUUGAUGGCUGCUGACGUGGUUUGGGGCCAUGACUUUGAUUUGUGGGAACAGUUUUACUCACGAAUUCCUUUUGCACCAUCAGAACAGAUUUCAACACAGUUGUUUCAGAAGAAGCCAAACGAUUUAAAAGAAGACAUUCAACUCUUUGACUAUUUCAGCACCAUUUGUAUUUGUUGCUAAGCAUUCACAGAAAAGAUCUUUGCUCACUGGUUUGUGCCGUUACUUGACUGCUGAUACUGGAAUAUAAGCAAAAUGGCAAGCCCAGCCAUAUCUGUAGGUAUUUCCAUUUUUAAGGAAAAAGUACAAUUCUACAGAGAAGAUACUGACUUGAUCUUCAUGCUUGCAGCUAAAUUUUUCAUUUGGUGAAUUACUCUAGCAUUGGAAGGUGGCAGUGCCAUGAUUUCUUUUACCGAUUUUUUCAUCCGACAGGCAUUUGGCAAUGUUAACUGUACAGGGCACACAAUGUGUGCUUCUCCAGACAAUGCAAUGUGACAACUUACCC
rnacentral:lncRNA from 1 species